GUGAAAUUUAUAUAAAGAAAUAGACUAUCUUACUUUAUUGGGAGGAACUAAAAAGUGGAGAUAAAAAACCAGGAUUAGAUACCCUGUUAUUCUUUAUGAUAAUUAAAUUGGGGUAGUAAAAGCUGUUCUUCAAACCCAAAGAUUUUGGCGGCACCUUACCCAAACAGAGGAGCUUGUCCUAUAAUUGAUAUUCCCCGUUAUACCUUACCCUCACCUGUCUAGCUUGUAUACCUCCGUUGGCAGAUUACUCCAUUAGGAUGUUUUCUUUAAAAAUAUUUUUAUUACUUCAGGUCAAGGUGCAGUUAAUGUGGGGGGAGUGAUGAGCUACAAUUUUAUAUAAAAAUACGGAUUUUUAAAUUAAAAUUUGAUUGAAGGUGGAUUUGUUAGUAAACUUGAUUUUAGAAAAGUCAGUUGAAUAGGGCAAUAAGGUGUGUACAUAUCGCCCGUCACUCUCCCCCUAAGAGGAGAUAA
rnacentral:rRNA from 1 species